rnacentral:lncRNA from 1 species
GAAAAUGUCUCUUUUAAUAUACUUUACAGUAGUAAAACUAUAACAUCUCAAUUGUUUUUUUUAAAUAAAUUUGAAUAAUGGUUUAGGUCAUUUGAUAAAUAUCACCUUGUAACUAAUAAGAUGAAACAAGGCUAAAUAGGACCAAUUAAGCACGUGAUUUAAAUAUCGAUAUGUAGUGAGUAAAAGAGUAAUCCAACUACCAGUAGAAGAUUACUACAUUUAGUACUAUAACAAGUAUAACACUGUUCCUAAAAAAAAGUGCUUUCUUAUGUUUAAGAUUUAUUUUAAUGUCAAACACAAAUAAUUAGAUCUUUAAAUGAACAAUUUGGGAGUUAAAUCCAUUGCUUCUGAUUUUUAUAGAUUUUAUGGUCUAGGAAAUCUAUACUGUCUGAUUUGAUCCCAUUUAACUGUAAGAUUUUUACACAUGUUGCACUCUACUAGCUGGCAGGAAAAUUAUUUUAAUCGACUGAAUGAAAGUAUUAUUUCAUGUAAAAGUUUAUUAUAUCAAGGAAAUGAUUUAGGUCAGAAGCUAGAAUCUAUAUAAAGUCAGCUUUUGAAAAUAAAGACAGACAAAUCUUUUUUUACAUUAUUAUAAAAGAGCUAAGUUGCAAACAACUAUCCUUGAGACCAGACCAUUUUUUUUUAAGCUGAAAUUUUCUAAUAAUUGCAAUGGCAAAACACCAUUUGCAAUUUCUUCCCUCCCACCUCCCAGGUGGUUCAACAAUUCCACUUCCAAACAGCAUUUCCCAUCAGUUUUUAAAAGCUACUUACAAAGUGUUAUUCUACUACCACUUUUAAAUACAUCAAGCACUUCCAAAUAUCUAGAAAGACUAGAUAUUUCAUAUAACUUGUCCACCACAUACACAUCACUGUUAAAUAAAAUUGCACACACAUAACAAUGGUUAUCAUCUGAGGUAUCUUCUAAAUGUGGCCAUUUUGGCCUUGAAUCAUUCCCUCCUCCCUUCCUUCUCUGCCUUCAAUCCAGUGGACAAGUACAGGCACAUGUAAUGCUUAGAGAUGGUCGAACAAAUUCCUAUGCAAAAGUCUUUACAGAAGACAAGUUUUCCUAUGAAUUUUAACACAAAGCGUACAAAAUAUGCUAAUUUUACUACUUUGUCAUACACUGGCAACCUCUUUAACAACUAGAGACUAGAUGUUGAAAAAUUAGGACUAUUUGUCCAUUAUAUAUACUAUAUACAGAGCAAAACAAAAUGCACAAAACGUAUAGAAAAAUGGUGUCUGAAAAUGUCCAAGUAUGAACACACUAGUAUAUUACCUCUUGCAAUUUCUUCCCUCCUACCUCCUCUAAACCAUUGAACAAGUAUACACAUUACUAUACUGCUCACAAAGGUGGCUUCACAAUUCAAUUUCCAAAAGCAUUUCCUAUGAAUUUUAGCAAAAAGAUAUUUACAAAGUGGUAUUUUACUACCUAUACAUUUAACAUACAUCGGGCACUUCUAAACAUCUAGAUAGACUAGAUGUUUCAAGUAAGGAGUUAAUUUGUCUACUAUGUAUACAGCAGUCUUGAAUAAACUGCAAACAUGUAACAACAGUUAUAAUUUGAAAGAGUCUUCCAAAUGUGAACAUUCUGGCCUAGAACCCUUCCCAUCGCCAUCAACCCAGAAGACAUCAAAUUUUCAGAAGACAAUCUUUCCUAGGACUUGUAAAACAAAAUGUACAAAAUAUAUUAGUUUACUAACUCUACUUUUGUCAUACACUGGCAACCUCUUUAACAUCCAGAAAGACUAGAUGUUGUCAAUUAGGACUCGUCUGUCCUUUAUGUACAUUAUAUACACAGAUAAGUAAAACAAAAUGCACAGACAUACAUCUUGCCUCGCUGUAAACAGGAUGGCAUAGAGCUCUCUGCACCUCCCCCUCCUCUCUCCUCCCCUGAACCACUGCACAAACACAAUGAGUAUUACUCAACAGGUGAUUUGACCAUUCCCCCCAAAAAAUAUUUCCUAUGAAUUGUAACAAAAAGGUAUUUACAAAAUGUGAUUUUGCUACCUCUAAUUUUAACAUAUCAGGCACUUCAGAACAUCUAAAAAGAAGAGACAUUUCAAAAAAGCUUAGCAUUGUCAACUAUAUACACAGUAGUGAGGAAUAAAAUGCACACAAAACAAUGGAUAGAAUAUGAAAAUGUCUUCUAAAUAUGACCAGUCUAGCAUAGAACCUUCUUCUCUUCCUUCUCAGGUCUUCCAGCUCCAUGUCAUCUAACCCACUUAACAAACGUGAACGUAUCGCUUCCAGAGGCCGUCUUAACAAUUCCAUUUCCAAAAGUCAUCUCCAGAAGACAUGUAUUUUCUACGAUUUCUUUUAAACAAAUGAGAAUUUACAAGAUGUGUAACUUUCUAACUCUUUUAUCAUAACUCGACAACCUCUUUCCAUCUAGAAGGGCUAGAUGUGACAAAUGUUUUCUAUUAAAAGGUUGGGGUGGAGUUGAGAGCAGCUUUUUCAUAUUAUAUACACAGGCCUUCCAUAAACGGCCAGUAAAUCUUCCCAGAGGGUGGUGGGCAUUUCCAACUGGCCAAACGUGGCCUGUCAUUCUACCAUUUCUCUCUUCCGACAGCAAAGUCUGGUAGAAUGAAGACCAACCGCCCGAUGGCCGCUAACCGUUCCACCCGUCGUUGUUCGGGACUUCGCUCACCUUUCAGGCCCCUUAAGGCCUUUGUCCGUUGUCGUCAGGACUAGGGCAGAGGGCUCGGCCUGUCCCGAGGCCCCCCAGUUCAUCCGCCGGCCCGGGGCCAGAGGGCCCUGAAGGCGCGGGCUGCGUUCUGCGUCUCUCCGCGAUCUCUGCCGGACCGGAACUAAGACCAGACCAUUUUCUUCUGGAAGAUCCAGAAGGCUGGUAAUGCAUUGUUUCUGGGUGUGUUUAUGAGGAUGUUGCCAAAGGAGACUGACAUUUGAAUUGGUGGACUGGGAGAGGAAGACCCAACUUCAAUGUGGGUGGACAGCAUCCAAUCAUCUGCCAGCCCUGCUAGAACAAGCAGGUGGAGAGAGGUGGGAUCACUUUGCUUCACUAAGUCUUCUGGCUGUCUCUUUCUUCUUUCUGUGCCUGAUGUUUGCUUCUGCUUCUCUUGACCUUGGACAUCAGACUCCAGGUUCUUCGGCCUUUGGACUCUGGGAAGCACCAGUGGUUUCCCCAGGGCUCCCUGGUCUUCCACCGCAGACUGAAGGCUGAAAUGUCAGUUUCCCUAGUUUUUAGGCUUUCAGACUUGGUCUGAGACACUACUACUGGCUUUUCUGUUUCCUCAGCUUGCAGAUGGCCUACUGUGAGACUUUGCCUUGUAAUCAUGUGAGACAAUUCUCCCUAAUAAACCAUCUUUUGUAUAUA